GUGAGGAAUAUUGGUCAAUGGGCGGGAGCCUGAACCAGCCAAGUCGCGUGAAGGAAGAAGGAUCUAUGGUUCGUAAACUUCUUUUGCAGGGGAAUAAAGUGCAGGACGUGUCCUGUUUUGUAUGUACCCUGAGAAUAAGGAUCGGCUAACUCCGUGCCAGCAGCCGCGGUAAUACGGAGGAUCCGAGCGUUAUCCGGAUUUAUUGGGUUUAAAGGGUGCGUAGGUGGUUGGAUAAGUCAGCGGUGAAAGUUUGCAGCUUAACUGUAAAAAUGCCGUUGAAAAUGUCGGACUUGAGUGUAAAUGAGGUAGGCGGAAUGCGUGGUGUAGCGGUGAAAUGCAUAGAUAUCACGCAGAACUCCGAUUGCGAAGGCAGCUUACUAAGCUACAACUGACACUGAAGCACGAAAGCGUGGGGAUCAAACAGGAUUAGAAACCCGAGUAGUCC
rnacentral:rRNA from 1 species